UGAGCGUCAUAACCAUGUCUCUUCUGCAGAGGCUUGUCCUGUGCCUUGCCAUCCCAUCUUGUUUGGCUCAGACAACGAUUGAUCAAAACCCCCCACUUAUUGUAAGUAGAGCCAACGUAGACGUUAUAAUGGAGUGCCAGCAAGUGACCACAAACCAUGACUACAUGUACUGGUACCACCAAGGAGCCAGCCGUGAGCUGAAAUACAUUGCCUACAUUAUUCGGGGACAGGAUCCACUCUACGAUGACAGCUACAAAGAUAAGUCGGUCUAUGAGGUGGAGAGAAAAGGAGACAGCACCAACCUGAAGAUCAAGUCCCUGACAGCCCAGAAUGAAGGAGUUUAUUACUGUGCAUCCAGUGCUGCACAGUGACUGAAGACAACCUGGAGCCUUUGAUCUAACCUCAUCCAUCCGACUCCAUGGAGAACAUAGACUGCGCACACUGCUGAGAUACAGUCAUCACACCAAUAUUCAACCAUAGCACUGAACUCACUAUGUGUGGUUAGAAAACUGCA